GCCGCCAUGGUGAAAUUGGUAUACACGUACGUUUCAGAAGCGUAUGCCGUAAGGCGUGGAAGUUCGAGUCUUCUUGGCGGCA
rnacentral:tRNA from 1 species